rnacentral:rRNA from 1 species
AUUGAACGCUGGCGGCAUGCCUUACACAUGCAAGUCGAACGGUAACAGGUCUUCGGCUGCUGCCGAGUGGCGAACGGUGGAGUAAUACUUCGGAACGUGCCCGAUCGUGGGGGAUAACGAGGCGAAAGCUUUGCUAAUACCCCAUACGAUCUACGGCUGAAAGCGGGGGAUCUCCGGACCUCGCGCGGCCUGGGCGGCCGAUGGCAGAUUAGGUAGUUGGGGGGAUAAAAGCUUACCAAGCCGACGAUCUGUAGCUGGUCUUAGAGGAUGAUCAGCCACACUGGGACUGAGACACGGCCCAGACUCCUACGGGAGGCAGCAGAGGGAAAUUUUGGACAAUGGGCGAAAGCCUGAUCCAGCAAUGCCGCGUGCAGGAUGAAGGCCUUCGGGUUGUAAACUGCUUUUGUACGGAACGAAAAGCCUCUUUCUAAUAAAGAGGGGUCAUGACGGUACCGUAAGAAUAAGCACCGGCUAACUACGU